GAGUUUGAUCUUGGCUCAGAUUGAACGCUGGCGGCAUGCCUUACACAUGCAAGUCGAACGGUAACAGGUCUUUCGGGAUGCUGACGAGUGGCGAACGGGUGAGUAAUACAUCGGAACGUGCCUAGUAGUGGGGGAUAACUACUCGAAAGAGUGGCUAAAUACCGCAUGAGAUCUAUGGAUGAAAAGCAGGGGGACCUUCGGGCCUUGUGCUACUAGAGCGGCCGAUGGCAGAUUAGGUAGUUGGUGGGAUAAAAGCUUACCAAGCCUACGAUCUGUAGGCUGGUCUGAGAGGACGAUCAGCCACACUGGGACUGAGACACGGCCCAGACUCCUACGGGAGGCAGCAGUGGGGGAAUUUUGGACAAUGGGCGCAAGCCUGAUCCAGC
rnacentral:rRNA from 1 species